GUAUUUUACACUACAUUUCUAUAUAUUGUUAAUUUAUUGUGGAAAUAAGGGUAUUCCACUUUAUGUGUUUGAGCUGCUUUGUAUUUUAGGCACUGAAUAGUUUCACCCAUCACCUCUGUAAAGAGGUUUUUUUUGUUUAAAUACUUUUUUUUGGUUUGAGGAAGAUUUUUACCUUUAGACAAGGGCCACGGCUAUGGGGACCAAGUUUGCCACCAGCUAUGCCAAUUUAUUUAUGGCUUUUUGGGAAGAUUCUUUUAUCUACACAGAGCAUGGCUCGACGACAAACUUGGUCCUUUAUAAGAGGUAUAUAGACAAUAUUUUCUUUAUAUGGAAAGGAAACCGUGCUUCUUUGGAUAAUGUUUUAAUUUUUUAGUUUUUUAAAAUAACAAUAACUGGGGAAUCAAGCUGACUCAGGAAAUAAGUCUCUCUGAAAUAAUUUUUUUAGAUAGAAAAAUGUAUGUGGAAACCAAACUUUUAAAAACAUAUACCUUUUUUAAAAAGGUAGACGUGAAUAACUAUAUAGAUAUGAGAAGCUGUCAUUUCUUACCCUGGCUAAAGAAUAUAC